GGUACCGGGCAGAUGUCAUACACUAUACCUCCUCAUCAAAGUUAGCAGUGUCUUAUGUUUGAAUCCAACAGACGCUUUCCGGUUUUU
rnacentral:rRNA from 1 species